CCCCUGAAGACAUGAUACCUGCACAUUUUUCAUAAUCAGAAUUGUAUGAAUUUCAUAGAUUUAACCUGGUCUUUCAAAAAAUUCAUGCUUCAGGGUACGUUCGCCUGCUCCGAAAAGAGCUACAGUGGCUGCAAAUAAGUUUUCAAUUUUCACUGCCAAAAAAACAGACUGUUUACAGUGUUGUCUCCCCUCAAAACAUGUGUAUUUAAUCUAUUUUUUUAAAUUAUUUUAAUCAUUCAAC
rnacentral:lncRNA from 1 species